rnacentral:lncRNA from 10 species
CAGCUUUAUAUAAUAAAACAAGCCGCGUCAAAUAGGCUAGGCUGUAAUAUUAGGUAAAAUCUAAUUUCAGUUUGGUUAUCACAUAGCGUUCAUUUCCCUAAGGGAGGAGAAAAAAUUAAAUUUGUAAGCUUAAGAUUCCAGCUGAAGUACUCAAGAAUCCUGUUUCUCUGACAGAGGAAAGGAACAACAACUUGACUGGACACAUCCUAACCCAACCAUACGCUGUGUUACUUCCUCCACUGCGCCACACACAGCUAUUAUUCUAAGCUCUCUUAUUCAAACCCUUAAGGAUUUGUAAGCUCCUGACCAACUGGAAGAGAGUUCCUACCACAGAAAGAAAGGCAGCCAAGAACACAAUGUCCCGACCUAGCUCUUGGAAGUACUAAAUUUCAUCACGGAAACCACAGCCUCAAGGACAGAGGACUUAUCCAGAGUCAUCAAAUCUAUCGCUUUUUCUGCUUUCUGUUUUCUCUGAAAGAGCCGUGAAUGAUGAGACGACAAAAUAUUGGAUUAUUUGUGCUCUUGAAACAGAUGCCACCUGAGUUGUGACAGAGAUGGAAAUCUAGAAUUUCUUGCAGCUUGGCAGCAUAGGAGCCAAUGGGGUAGCAAUGUGAAAGUCAAGAAGUACACCUCAUCUCCAGGACAGCAAGAGUGAUCCCUGCCUGACAAUGAUGCUGGGAGAAGAUGUGCCGGUGCUCAAGAAGGCACCGUCCCUCAUGCACAGCCACAUGCCACAGGUCACACAACAUUGGCAGGAGUCCAGACCACUUUUUGUCUAGUAGUAGCUUUACUGGGACCUACUAUAACUUGGGCAAGUUAAGUCUUCUUCCUGGAUUUUGUUUCUCUUUAAACGAGAGAAUAAGAGUAGAUGGGCUACAAAGUUCCCAAAGAACUUAGCUAAGAUUCUGGCAUAUAGUUACAGUAUGGAUUAAGUAGAAGGUGAUGAGGCAGAGAGUGAACAUGACAUUGGUGUGUGGCCAGAUUUACACUUGGACCUUCUUUAGCGGGGGCACCCGUUGAAAAUCAGCCUGCAAAUCCUCAAUAAAUCCAGCACUGCCAGUUUUUUUCAUUCUGAAACAGACUGCAUUUGGUGAGGCAGGAGGGUGAGCAUUAUAUAAAAGAGAUAUUUUGCAUUUUAGGAGCAAUGAUAUAUACAAAAUAAGUACUAUAGCAUUAAAAUACAAUCACACUCAUUGUUGAAAGAUGUUUACAUUAUGAGAAAAAAAUCCAUGCUCCUGACAUCAACUGAAGGGGCAUCUCUCACAAGACCUGGGGAGUGGAAGUAUGGAAUCUAAUGUUACUACAGCAAGUGAAUCCACCUUGCAUAGAGUGAAAUAUUUGUAAAACUCCUAAUUAGAACAGAUUUUUAAAAAAUUAUUUCUCAAGUGUUUCUUCCUUUGACCUAAUGUGUUUACCCUAUUGCUUACCUAUUAACUGUCAAUUUCCUGCCAAAAAGUCUCUAUCGUUAGAGAUAAAGUAUUAAUAUCAAUAUAUCAUAUGUGAAUUUACAUCAUUACUCUCCCAACAGAAGGACUCUGUACCUGUAGAAAUCUUCCUACAUAUUAUUCAAGUGUUAUAUAUGCCAGGAGAACUUAGCACUUACUAAUGAAUAUCUGUUCCAUUAUUCAGAUAACACUGGGUUACACAGUUAAAGCAGGAUAAGAGGAACGGAAUUUUGCAAAUGGCAUUUCACUGUUUUGUACUGGAGUAUGAGCAGCCACAGCCUAUGCUUAACUUAGAACUUCACACUGUAUUGUAAGGUAGUCUUUGGAGUUGAGACUGCCUGCAGUAUCUGUUUUCUGAGUGUGCUUUGAGAGCAUGAUAAUAUAAUAUUGAAUUAUUUUGUACCAGAAAUUUAUAGACAUUUUAGGAUAUGUCUACCACCAGGCAUGGUGACAGUGGGAUCCAUAAUUUUUCUAUAACAUUUUGGAAGGCAGAUAAAGGAUUUUUAUAAAAUGUUUGAUUUUUUGUGCUUUGCAAACACGGUAAGCAAAAAUUAAAUAAAUAAUGUAGUAGGGACCCAAAGAAACAGCUUUAAUUGCACACAUCCCCACCUCAUUUCAGGAGUUCUUGGAAGACAGAUCUUUCAGGACUAGCUUCUAUUAAUGACAGUAUAAUUGCUGGUAUGUAGUGUCCUUUACUUUCUUGCUAUUUUUUUCUUGUAAUUUAUUUGUAAGAGGUGAUGUUUUGAUGUUUCCUGAGGGAUUGUUCCUCAUUUAUGUGUGGCUUGAUUUGUAUUGCAAAACUUAUGCUAGAAAAAUACUUUUGGUGGAUUUAAUCAAAUAGUAUUUAACAACAAGAAAGAUCAAAAGUAUUUUGGAUGUAUGCUUGUAAAGAAAUCUUUCUUGUAUUUAAAUAUGGUAUUUAAUAUUUUGGAUAUUUUUCUGUACCCAAAGAAUGGAUUCAUGGAUACUUUAUGAAAAAUUAGAUACUUAUAAAAUGCUUAAAUUUAUAAAAUUUAAUUUUAAUUAAAU